rnacentral:rRNA from 1 species
AACAAACGCUGGCGGCGUGCCUAAUACAUGCAAGUCGAACGGGGUAGCAAUACCUAGUGGCGCACGGGCGAGUAACGCGUGGAUAAUCUGCCUUAGAGUGGGGGAUAACUAGUCGAAAGAUUAGCUAAUACAGCAUAAGACCACAGGAGCUGCGGCUCUAGGGGUCAAAGGUUUUUCGCUCUAAGAUGAGUCCGCGUAAGAUUAGCUAGUUGGUGAGGUAACGGCUCACCAAGGAGACGAUCUUUAACUGGUCUGAGAGGAUGAUCAGUCACACUGGAACUGAGACACGGUCCAGACGCCUACGGUAGGCAGCAGUAGGGAAUAUUGCACAAUGGAGGAAACUCUGAUGCAGCGACGCCGCGGGAGUGAUGAAGGCCUUCGGGUCGUAAAGCUCUGUCGCAGGGGAAUAACCCAAUGAAUGUACCCUGUAAGAAAGGAUCGGCUAACUUCGUGCCAGCCGCCGCGGUAAUAC